rnacentral:tRNA from 1 species
UGGGUUGUAGCUCAGUGGUUGAGUGCUUGCCUCACAUGCAUGAGGCACUGGGUUUGAUUCACAGCACCACAU